rnacentral:rRNA from 1 species
UGGGGAAUAUUGGGGCAAUGGGGGGAAACCCUGACCCAGCGACGCCGCGUGAGGGAAGAAGGUUUUCGGAUUGUAAACCUCUGUCCUUGGGUGACGAUAAUGACGGUAGCCAAGGAGGAAGCCACGGCCAACUACGUGCCAGCAGCCGCGGUAAUACGUAGGUGGCGAGCGUUGUCCGGAAUUACUGGGUGUAAAGGGAGCGUAGGCGGGAGAGCAAGUCGACUGUGAAAGCUAUGGGCCUAACCCAUAGAUGCGAUCGAAACUGUUCAUCUUGAGUGAAGUAGAGGCAGGCGGAAUUCCUAGUGUAGCGGUGAAAUGCGUAAAUAUUAGGAGGAACACCAGUGGCGAAGGCGGCCUGCUGGGCUUUAACUGACGCUGAGGCUCGAAAGCGUGGGUAGCAAACAGGAUUAGAUACCC